rnacentral:rRNA from 1 species
AUUGAACGCUGGCGGAAUGCUUUACACAUGCAAGUCGAACGGCAGCACGGGGCAACCUGGUGGCGAGUGGCGAACGGGUGAGUAAUACAUCGGAACGUGCCCAAUCGUGGGGGAUAACGUAGCGAAAGUUACGCUAAUACCGCAUACGAUCUACGGAUGAAAGCGGGGGAUCGCAAGACCUCGCGCGAAUGGAGCGGCCGAUGUCAGAUCAGGUAGUUGGUGGGGUAAAGGCUCACCAAGCCAACGAUCUGUAGCUGGUCUGAGAGGAUGAUCCGCCACACUGGAACUGAGACACGGUCCAGACUCCUACGGGAGGCAGCAGUGGGGAAUUUUGGACAAUGGGCGCAAGCCUGAUCCAGCCAUGCCGCGUGAGUGAAGAAGGCCUCGG